ensembl:lncRNA
AGGUGAAGCACGAAAAGCAUCAGCUUCUGAAAGGUAGGACCAAACAGAGCCUAUGGAAGUUGAAGCUUCUGCUGAAGGCAAAGAUAAUCAGGCGUUACCAGCUAUAUCUAGUGAGAAUCAACUACCAACUAAUGCAGCUGAGACCAAGCCAAAUAUAUCGCCACCAAAACCUACUGAUCCACCUCAGAUACCACAAACUUUCAUCAAACGUCCAGAAGAUUCACUCAAAGCUUCAGAAGAGACCGAGCAGAGUUCAGAUUCUGCUGUACAAGAAGAAACAACAGCAGACUGCAGGAAAAUCACCUGAGAUUUCUGGGGAGGCAAAGCAGACAGUUGAAAGUGUAGAAACGGUCACAAAGGACAAAGACUCUGUGACUGCAGAGAAGAUCUCAAAGGAUCAGCCGGUCGCUGUUACCCACCCAACAUUUUGGGAGCGGAUACAAGAGCAAUUGCAUCCAGAAAGAAUCCGUAAGAAAUCCCCAAAGGAAUUGGGACGGAGGAUUCACGGACACAAGGAAGCACUUGAAGGAGAGACGGGCACUCACUACCACACACGGGCUAGCACGGGAGGAAGGACACACUAACAAUCAUUCUUGCACAUUCGAACUGUUGUCACCUUGCUGCACUCUUGUUCCGCUUGAUUACAAGGUGCUGUUAAUAAGCAACCUGCCAGGGUAUCACGAUGGCUGUUACGCAGAGGAGGACAUCUCCGGUCUGCUCACUCUACACAGACUUGAAUAUUACGACGACACAAUCUACGUUAUACCACCAG